GACGAACGCUGGCGGCGUGCUUAACACAUGCAAGUCGAACGGAAAGGCCCUGCUUUUGUGGGGUGCUCGAGUGGCGAACGGGUGAGUAACACGUGAGUAACCUGCCCUUGACUUUGGGAUAACUUCAGGAAACUGGGGCUAAUACCGGAUAGGAGCUCCUGCUGCAUGGUGGGGGUUGGAAAGUUUCGGCGGUUGGGGAUGGACUCGCGGCUUAUCAGCUUGUUGGUGGGGUAGUGGCUUACCAAGGCUUUGACGGGUAGCCGGCCUGAGAGGGUGACCGGCCACAUUGGGACUGGGAUACGGGCCAGACUCCUACGGGAGGGAGCAGGGGGGAAUAUUGCAACAUGGGCGGAAGCCUGAUGCAGCAACGCCGCGUGCGGGAUGACGGCCUUCGGGUUGUAAACCGCUUUCGCCUGUGACGAAGCGUGAGUGACGGUAAUGGGUAAAGAAGCACCGGCUAACUACGUG
rnacentral:rRNA from 1 species